UCCCAGAAUCAUGUUUGCUUUUUUUGCUAACUAGCAUCACACUGUUGACUCAUGUUUGGGCUGUGGGUCCUUAUAACCCCUAGAUGCCAGGGAUGCAUAAUGUGCC